AGCAAACAGGAUUAGAUACCCUGGUAGUCCACACCGUAAACGAUGAUUACUAGGUGUUGGAGGAUUGACCCCUUCAGUGCCGCAGUUAACACAAUAAGUAAUCCACCUGGGGAGUACGACCGCAAGGUUGAAACUCAAAGGAAUUGACGGGGGCCCGCACAAGCAGUGGAGUAUGUGGUUUAAUUCGACGCAACGCGAAGAACCUUACCAAGUCUUGACAUCCCUUGACGAUGCUGGAAACAGCAUUUCUCUUCGGAGCAAGGAGACAGGUGGUGCAUGGUUGUCGUCAGCUCGUGUCGUGAGAUGUUGGGUUAAGUCCCGCAACGAGCGCAACCCUUGUAUUUAGUUGCUACGCAAGAGCACUCUAGAUAGACUGCCGUGGACAACACGGAGGAAGGUGGGGAUGACGUCAAAUCAUCAUGCCCCUUAUGACCUGGGCUACACACGUACUACAAUGGCAAUGGAACAGAGGGAAGCGACUCAGCGAUGAGAAGCAGAUCCCGAAAAAUUGUCUCAGUUCGGAUUGCAGGCUGCAACCCGCCUGCAUGAAGUCGGAAUUGCUAGUAAUCGCGGAUCAGCAUGCCGCGGUGAAUACGUUCCCGGGCCUUGUACACACCGCCCGUCACACCAUGGGAGUCGGUAACACCCGAAGCCCGUAGCCUAACAGCAAUGAGGGCGCGGUCGAAGGUGGGAUUGAUGACUGGGGUGAAGUCGUAACAAGGUAGCCGUUCGAGAACGAGCGGCUG
rnacentral:rRNA from 1 species